UACGAAGGGGGCUAGCGUUGCUCGGAAUCACUGGGCGUAAAGGGUGCGUAGGCGGGUCUUUAAGUCAGGGGUGAAAUCCUGGAGCUCAACUCCAGAACUGCCUUUGAUACUGGCAAUCUCGAGUCCGGAAGAGGUGAGUGGAACUGCGAGUGUAGAGGUGAAAUUCGUAGAUAUUCGCAAGAACACCAGUGGCGAAGGCGGCUCACUGGCCCGAUACUGACGCUGAGGCACGAAAGCGUGGGGAGCAAACAGG
rnacentral:rRNA from 1 species